GUGCAACGAAGGAUUAGAAAGAGGACAUGUGUCGCCUCUCCAAUCUCCUUGGUGAAGCAUGCGAGAUCACAGGAUCGAUGCUUUUCCUGCCGUUGGCCCGCCAGAGAGAAGGAAUUAUAAUUUAAUGAUAAAAGAAUUUUUUUUAUCAAAAUGGCUCGUGGUACGGUGUGUCUGCAGGGCCAACUAUCGCUGGUGGUCCCCCCAUGCU
rnacentral:lncRNA from 1 species